ensembl:lncRNA
GUCUAUGUUUGUGGGGUGGGAGAUUCGCUACAGAGAGAAUCUGAAGCGCGUGUGUGUGUGGUGAGAAUGCUGACAUUUGGAUUUGAAAUCGGAGUGAUUCAUCAGCUGUCAAACAGGGGGGGGGGGGGGGUUUCUUUUGAAUGCUCAGGAUACAAAGCCAGAUAGGUCAAAGUUCAUCCUUCAGAAGUAAAUAUGUCUGAAGAUGUCUGAGGUAAAAUUGCUCUAUGACGGUAUUCUCUUUGGUACACUUUGACUUUUGGUUUUGUGUCCUCUGUUAACUACACAUACGUCUUUUCCCUGUGAAAAUUAGGGCUGAACGAUUUGGGAAAAUAAUGUAAUUGCGAUUUUUUACCAAAAUAUUGCGAUUGCGAUUCGAUAUGCGAUUUUUUUUUUUAUCCUCUUUUUUUCCCAACAAAACGUAAUGAAUGAUUUAAAUAUGACCAACACAAUAUUAGAUACAUUUAGUGUAAAAUAUUUUUUCCCACAUUUUACAUUUUUAUUUAACUGCUCAUUACAGAAACAAGAACAACAAAUCGGUGGCUUUGCCACUGUGCAUUUAAGUAAUUUAAAAAAAGUAAUUUUAAGUAUAAACACUAGGCAUGCACUUUUUAAACACUGUGUGCAAAAUGUACCAUCUUAAAAAAAAGAUCUUUUUUUUUUAGACCACGUUUUUUAAUCGCGAACGUUGCGGUUAGAAAAUCGCGUUCUAUCAUAUCGCGAUUAAAUCGCAAAUACAAUUAAUCGUUCAGCCCUAGUGAAAAUGCGCUAACGUACAGUACAUAACGAUAAAGAUAACAUCUAUUAAAUAGAAACAGUGUUCGCAGUCAUCGUGACUAAAAAACUUGUAUCCGAUUUUGGCACCUUUGAGCCCUUUGUUCAUACUGAAUCGUAAGAUGGGCCAUAUACGUAUAAUCUAGUUAAUAAUAUACAAUUAUGAGAACAAUUAUUUAUGCUUGGCGAAGGUAAAAACAACAGACGCUCGCCGGAGGAGCGAAGUGGUGGUGAGAGGGUGAGCAGAGCUGAAUCAUGGCAUUUAAAUAGGCUCGGGCUGAUCCAUGGCUGUCAUUGAGGCGAUGGUGAGAUGGUGAGUAGAGCUGAAUCAUGGCAUUUAAAUAGGCUCGGGCUGGUCCAGUGGCUGUCAUUGAGGCGAUGGUGAGAUGGUGAGCAGAGCUGAAUCAUGGCAUUUAAAUAGGCUCGGGCUGAUCCAGUGGCUGCCAUUGAGGCGAUGGUGAGAGAUUUCAAUGUAAUUCUAGCAGCUACAUGGAGUCAGUGAAGGGUGACUAGCAGAGGAGUUACAUGUGUCCUCUUUGGCUGAUCAAAGACAAAACCAGUAGAGGAGUUACACGUGUCCUCUUUGGCCGAUCAAAGACAAAACGCACCGCCGCAUUCUGAAUCAUCUCCAACGGUCUCAUUACACAUGCAGGCAGGCCUGUGAAAAUUGCAUUGCAAUAGUUUAGUUUAGGAAUAUACAAGUUUAGGAAUAACCAGGGCCGAAACAAGAAAUUGUGUUCCAUAUUGUGUGAGAAACAAAAGUGUGAUCUUCCAAAUAUGAUAGAGAGAAAUUAAGUUGGUCAUCAAUCGGAACACCCACGUUUCGUGCAGUUUUAUUUGGGGUCAAUGAAGAUGAACGAAGUUGGAUGUUAAUAUUUUGUAUUAUUAUUAUAAUGAUAUGUUUUGUGGGAUAGCCAGAUUGGCUGGGAAGCUCAGGAGCUCAGUUUUCAAAAGAUAUGAGCCGAAGGUGGGGGAGGACAGUUGAGUAUCAUCAGCAUAACAGUGAUAUGAGAACCCAUGGGAAUGGAUGAUCUCACCUGAGGAAGUGGUGUCAAUAGAAAAUAGGAGAGGUCCAAGUACCGAUCCCUGAGGUACACCAGUGGUUUUUACACCUGACCCUUCCCAAGACACACUGAAUAAACAUCCACUAGUUCGGAUGACGUACAGAGGAGGAUGUCAUGGUUCACUGUGUCAAAGGCUGCUGAAAAGUUUAGUAAAAUCAGAACUGAUGACUGAGCAGAGGCUUUUGCCACUAUCAAUCCUCACAGUCACAGAUAAAAGAGCACAUUCAGCAGAAUGACCACUCUUAAAAAGAGACCGCUUAGGGUCUUCUGAGAGAGGAAAUCAGAAAAGGGAAGAAGGGAGGCAUGUCUAUAAUUCUUCACAUUAGAUUUCUUAAGCAAAGGAGUAACCCAAGCCUGUUUAAAUGAUGUCAGAUCUGUGUGUGUCUGUGUCUGUGUGUGUGUGUGUGUGUGUGUGUGUGUGUGUGUCUGUGUCUGUGUCUGUGUGUGUCUGUGUGUGUGUGUUCAUGUGUGUCUCCCGAACUGAGAGAAGCAUUGACUAAAUGUGUGAAAUUGUAGACAAGAUAAACCGGAGAAGGAUGGUUGGAAUGGGGUUCAGAGGAAAUAUUGUAGGAUGACUACACUGAAGAAUCUUAGAGACUUGUACUCGGGAGAAUAAACUCACUGAUGCUCCGAUGUCAAGACAAAGUAAAACCCAUUUAGAAGGA